GUGGGGAAUAUUGCACAAUGGGCGAAAGCCUGAUGCAGCAACGCCGCGUGAGUGAUGAAGGCCUUCGGGUUGUAAAGCUCUGUCUUUUGGGACGAUAAUGACGGUACCAAAGGAGGAAGCCACGGCUAACUACGUGCCAGCAGCCGCGGUAAUACGUAGGUGGCAAGCGUUGUCCGGAUUUACUGGGCGUAAAGGGAGCGUAGGUGGAUAUUUAAGUGGGAUGUGAAAUCCCCGGGCUUAACCUGGGGGCUGCAUUCCAAACUGGAUGUCUAGAGUGCAGGAGAGGAGAGUGGAAUUCCUAGUGUAGCGGUGAAAUGCGUAGAGAUUAGGAAGAACACCAGUGGCGAAGGCGACUUUCUGGACUGUAACUGACGCUGAGGCUCGAAAGCGUGGGGAGCGAACAGGAUUAGAUACCCGAGUAGUCC
rnacentral:rRNA from 1 species